rnacentral:rRNA from 1 species
GAUUUCUGAUGCGACCUGCCUGGCCCGCCGUGGUUACACGCGUGAGUGCCGGGUGUUGUCCGUCUGUCUUCCUGUGAUUUGCUGCCCUCUUCAUUGAGUGGUGGACAAGUUGUAGGAUCUUUUACUUUGAAAAAAUUAGAGUGUUUAAAGCAGGCUUGCGCUAUGAAUACAUUAGCAUGGAAUAAUAAUUUAGGACUUUGGUCUUAUUUUGUUGGUUUCUAGGACUAAAGUAAUGAUUGAUAGGGAUAGUUGGGGGUGCUAGUAUUCAGCGGCCAGAGGUGAAAUUCUUGGAUUCGCUGAAGACUAACUUAUGCGAAAGCAUU